GUGCGAUAUCAGCUGGUGACGGCAUUAAAGAUGAUGGUGGGUUUUAAUUUUAAUUGUUGGAAAUCUUUCUAUUAUUUUAAU